rnacentral:rRNA from 1 species
GAUGAACGCUGGCGGCGUGCCUAAUACAUGCAAGUCGAGCGAACAGACGAGGAGCUUGCUCCUUUGACGUUGGCGGCGGACGGGUGAGUAACACGUAGGUAACCUACCUAUAAGACUGGGAUAACUUCGGGAAACCGGAGCUAAUACCGGAUAAUAUUUCGAACCGCAUGGUUCGAUAGUGAAAGAUGGCUUUGCUAUCACUUAUAGAUGGACCUGCGCCGUAUUAGCUAGUUGGUAAGGUAACGGCUUACCAAGGCAACGAUACGUAGCCGACCUGAGAGGGUGAUCGGCCACACUGGAACUGAGACACGGUCCAGACUCCUACGGGAGGCAGCAGUAGGGAAUCUUCCGCAAUGGGCGAAAGCCUGACGGAGCAACGCCGCGUGAGUGAUGAAGGUCUUCGGAGCGUAAAACUCUGUUAUUAGGGAAGAACAAACGUGUAAGUAACUGUGCACGUCUUGACGGUACCUAAUCAGAAAGCCACGGCUAACUACGUG